AUGAACGCUGGCGGCGUGCUUAACACAUGCAAGUCGAACGAUGAAGCCCAGCUUGCUGGGUGGAUUAGUGGCGAACGGGUGAGUAACACGUGAGUAACCUGCCCUUGACUCUGGGAUAAGCGCUGGAAACGGCGUCUAAUACCGGAUACGAGCUUCCACCGCAUGGUGAGUUGCUGGAAAGAAUUUCGGUCAAGGAUGGACUCGCGGCCUAUCAGGUAGUUGGUGAGGUAACGGCUCACCAAGCCGACGACGGGUAGCCGGCCUGAGAGGGUGACCGGCCACACUGGGACUGAGACACGGCCCAGACUCCUACGGGAGGCAGCAGUGGGGAAUAUUGCACAAUGGGCGCAAGCCUGAUGCAGCAACGCCGCGUGAGGGACGAAGGCCUUCGGGUCGUAAACCUCUUUUAGCAGGGAAGAAGCGAAAGUGACGGUACCUGCAGAAAAAGCACCGGCUAACUACGUG
rnacentral:rRNA from 1 species